rfam:Nicotiana attenuata strain TT chromosome 11, whole genome shotgun sequence.
AUACCUUUCUCGGCCUUUUGGCUAAGAUCAAGUGUAGUAUCUGUUCUUAUCAGUUUAAUAUCUGAUAUGUGGGCCAUCAGCUCAUACGAUAUUAACUCAAUUUUCUCUAGAUUUUCU